rnacentral:rRNA from 1 species
GACGAACGCUGGCGGCGUGCUUAACACAUGCAAGUUGAACGCUGAAGGCCUGGCUUUUGUUGGGUUGGAUGAGUGGCGAACGGGUGAGUAACACGUGAGUAACCUGCCCUCUUCUUUGGGAUAACGCCCGGAAACGGGUGCUAAUACUGGAUAUUCACUGAUCUUCGCAUGGGGGUUGGUGGAAAGGUUUGUUCUGGUGGGGGAUGGGCUCGCGGCCUAUCAGCUUGUUGGUGGGGUGAUGGCCUACCAAGGCUUUGACGGGUAGCCGGCCUGAGAGGGUGACCGGUCACAUUGGGACUGAGAUACGGCCCAGACUCCUACGGGAGGCAGCAGUGGGGAAUAUUGCACAAUGGGCGAAAGCCUGAUGCAGCGACGCCGCGUGAGGGAUGGAGGCCUUCGGGUUGUAAACCUCUUUCGCUCAUGGUCAAGCCGCAACUGUGGGUUGUGGUGAGGGUAGUGGGUAAAGAAGCGCCGGCUAACUACGUG